GACCAGUAACGGGACUCGGUGUGCCCGGGCCUGUUCGGGGCACGCAGCGCAAGACCCGGCUCCGCAGGGUGGGAAGAUGCCCGAGCCCAGGGAGACCCGACCGAGACGCCCCCUCUCCUGCCCAGCGCGCCCCCUUCCGUCCCCAGCAAGAGAGCAAAGGUCCCAAGCCUCAAUCCGGGCUCAAGCGACCAAACCCCUUUCUAGAGUCUGGACCACUCACCAUUCGGGACAGAGCUGCCCCCAAAAGUUAAAAUGAGACAAACGGGCGGGAAGCCCCCAGCCCCGGGGCGGGGCCGGCCUAGAGCCCUGCGCUCCAGCUUUGGGAGCUCACCCAGGCCCGGGGAGGGCCAGCCUGGCUGCUCACGGGACCCUCCCUUGUUGGCCCGGCCGUGGCCGGGAACCCACGCGUGGCCGGUGCGCGCUGCCAGUGCUGCAGCUGAGGUUCGGGUUCGGCCCGCGCCCGGCGUGAACAAAGCGGCUGCCAAGGCCUGGGACUGAGGGGACUGAGCCGCCGGCUCCACGCCGCCCCCAGGCCCAGAAGAAACACCGACUGCGGGCCGGGCACAGCACCCGGCCGGGGAAAGGACGCCCCGAGUUACGCGCAAACUUCCUUUGAAUGGCGCCCAGGUGCCCGGAAAGAUGCGUACACGUGGACCAGUUUUCACUUUUCAGUGCCGAAAUCCAUGAAGAUUUAAGGCACUGAUGCAAAACACUGAAUAUUCCAAUGUUUGCAACUUUGAAGGUUUUACACACGAACCGUGGGAGGUGUGGAUACAUCUUGGCCAUCACUUUGAACAAGCCUCAGAAUUGCUAAAACUAGUAUCAGUAGAAGCACUGAUGAGAAUUUCUGCCAAGUUUGAAAAAGAAUAUUCCAUCCUCCUCUGAACACUGAAGAUUCUGAUCAAGUCUUCUCCUUCUAUUACUUUUAUUUCAUUCUUCCUUGACUAAAACUUAGCGCUCUGUGGAUUUGAGAUAAGAUGAAAGGGGCAGAGAAUAAAUACACAAUGAACUUUUAUUUCGUCAGGAGUGACACUCAAGGAACUCCCUCCAGCUUCGCUGGCUGUAUCUGCCAGAGUCUCUGCUUUAGGCCGUGCAUCUCUGGCUUUACCUUCACAGGCUUUGGCUCAGAGGCCUAAGGCUUCAAACAUGCAAAUUUACUUUGAGAUGAAACAUUGGGCUCAAUUCGCCAAGUAUUUGGGGAGAAAAGUGGAAAGGGUGAAAGUAACCUUCAAAUCAUUCCUUUUCAUAUUUUUCUCACAAUGAAAAUAGUGAAACAUAGGUGGUUAAAAACUAAAACACUAAAACGAAAGACACUAAAAACCAACAGUAUUCACUAAAGAAAGAAGAUAUUGGCAGUGAAACCAAAUCACAGAUCUAUCUAUUUAUCAAUCGACUGAUUGAUCUAUCUAACUACUGACGGGUAUUGCACACUAUCUAGCUCAAAAUGCUCAGCAUAGGUAACAUGAUAAUAUUUUAUAAAGUAGAUAUGAUUAGCAAACCAAGUAAAUGUCUUUUUACUGCUACCACAAAUCGACAUUGUUCAAUCACGCUUUUCUAACUUAAGAAUUAAAGCCCAAAAUCUAUAUUUUCAUUUAUUUUAUUUCCAUGUAGCAGCAAAGGAAUAUUAAUAUAUCUUCCGGCAUUUUGCUUAAUAUUUUAAUGAAAAUUACCAAAACUUGAGAUUUUCCUAGAAGAUUCCUGGCUUCUGGAUUGGCACAUUUUCUACAAGGAGGCUUUUGCUAUGUAUUUCCUCAGAGUGAUCAAUGUUGUCUAUAACAGAUGUUCUGAU
rnacentral:lncRNA from 10 species